AAUCAACGCUGGCGGCGUGCCUAACACAUGCAAGUCGAACGCGAAAGGGGCUUCGGCCCUGAGUAGAGUGGCGAACGGGUGAGUAACACGUGGGUGAUCUACCUCUGAGUGGGGGAUAACGUUCCGAAAGGAGCGCUAAUACCGCAUGACGUCCCGGGUUUGAAGACCUGGACACCAAAGUCGGGGACCGCAAGGCCUGACGCUUGGAGAGGAGCCCGCGCCUGAUUAGCUAGUUGGUGAGGUCAUGGCUCACCAAGGCGACGAUCAGUAGCCGGCCUGAGAGGGCGGACGGCCACACUGGGACUGAGACACGGCCCAGACUCCUACGGGAGGCAGCAGUGGGGAAUUGUUCGCAAUGAGCGCAAGCCUGACGACGCAACGCCGCGUGGAGGAUGAAGGUCUUCGGAUUGUAAACUCCUGUUGACCGGGACGAAUGGACUCCGACCUAACACGUCGGGGUAAUGACGGUACCGGUUGAGGAAGCCACGGCUAACUCUGUGCCAGCAGCCGCGGUAAUACAGAGGUGGCAAGCGUUGUUCGGAAUUACUGGGCGUAAAGGGCGCGUAGGCGGCCGCCUAAGUCAGACGUGAAAUCCCCAGGCUUAACUUGGGAACUGCGUCUGAUACUGGGUGGCUUGAGUUCGGGAGAGGAAUGUGGAAUUCCAGGUGUAGCGGUGAAAUGCGUAGAUAAGCGGUGAAAUGCGUAGAUAUCUGGAGGAACACCGGUGGCGAAGGCGGCAUUCUGGACCGAAACUGACGCUGAGGCGCGAAAGCCAGGGGAGCAAACGGGAUUAGAUACCCCGGGUAGUCUGGCCUAACGAUGAGUGCUUGAGUGAGGGUAUCGAUCCUGCCGUGCCGAGCUACGCAUAGCACUUCGGCUUGGAGUACGUCCAAGCUGACUCAAUGAAAUUGACGGGGGCACUCU
rnacentral:rRNA from 1 species